UUGCCAGACUCCUACGGGAGGCAGCAGUGGGGAAUAUUGCACAAUGGGGGAAACCCUGAUGCAGCGACGCCGCGUGAGUGAAGAAGUAUUUCGGUAUGUAAAGCUCUAUCAGCAGGGAAGAAAAUGACGGUACCUGACUAAGAAGCUCCGGCUAAAUACGUGCCAGCAGCCGCGGUAAUACGUAUGGAGCAAGCGUUAUCCGGAUUUACUGGGUGUAAAGGGAGCGCAGGCGGUCCGGCAAGUCUGAUGUGAAAGGCGGGGGCUCAACCCCCGGACUGCAUUGGAAACUGUCGGGCUGGAGUGUCGGAGGGGCAGGCGGAAUUCCUAGUGUAGCGGUGAAAUGCGUAGAUAUUAGGAGGAACACCGGUGGCGAAGGCGGCCUGCUGGACGACAACUGACGCUGAGGCUCGAAAGCGUGGGGAGCAAACAGGAUUAGAUACCCUCGUAU
rnacentral:rRNA from 1 species